AGCUGGGAGGGAGGCGCGCGCUGGCUGUGGAGUUGAACUCGGAUGGAGAUGAUGCCAGGUCAGACGCAGGCAGCGUGGCAUCGAAUCCGUCUGUCUGGAUGGGACAGAGAGGAAAGGCUGGUUUGGACUCAGUACCUGUGACUUCAUCAUUUCAACCAGGUACGUCGCAGCAAAUUUGUAAAAGUUUUUGUUAAUCUCACACUCUGGCAUAUUUUUCUCGAAAGAGUUGCUGCUUUGAAAGAUGUGCACAAAGCUCCAGUUUUAUCCCCAUUUAGUAAAUCAGCUUACAGUACAGGAAGGAGAAAUUGGUCUCUAUUAGUCUGCAGUUAGAAAUUAAAGCCUAUCCGGCUGCAGCUGUGGAGGAGCUCCAAAGACGGGGACAUUUAUUGUCAGGAACAAAUAGAGGCCUUUUUAUUUUGUCUAGCAGCUGACGCCUCUCCCCACCUACUCCUCUGAACCUGCUUUUGUCAGAAAUAUAGAGUGGCCUGCUCAGGAAAGAGCGAGAGAGUUUCUGAACAGAAAAAAAAGUGUGGGGUGUGUUGGCGAUAGGCUUGGAGAGGAAAGGCCCGGCUGUUUGCCAUAUGGUGUAAUUAACGGCAAUUUCAAAAGAUUAUCUCCUGCCAUCGAUACAGAGUUUAGUUGAAUACAUGUUGCAGCUAAUAUGCAAGUGUCUCUGAGUAUGUGUGGGUUUUGAUCUCUGGUUUGUAGAUCCAGUGUUAUGUUGAGACUCUAUGACCUGCAGCUUGCCCCCCAUUUAAGAUGGGUUAGCUAUAACCCCCACUGCACACUUUAAAUCCAGUCCCCCCACCACCUCUUGGUCACACACACACACACAUACGCCCGCAGAGACUCUCAACACAAAAGAAAUAUUCAGCUGUUGAGAGGGGGUCCCCUCAGAGGGCGCGACAUUGAACUGGAGGGGAUUAAGCAGAAAUGGCUGCCUGACACUGGGGUUGCCAUGGCAAAGCCCCCUUUUCUCCUUUCCCUCGACCCUCUGUCUAUUUUUCAUUUAAUGUCUCAUUGUGGGUUGAAGUGUAAGUGUGUGUUUGUGACUGUGAUGGAGUGGGGUGGAUGUAAUAUGCCGUAUAAUUUUAGUCUGGGGCUGCUCCGGGGGGGCGAGAGGAGAGAGAUCCACCUCACGUGAUAUCAGAAUACGGGCGAUUGUUUUUAUAUAAGUUUACCCGGUAGCUGCGAUAUUGAAAAUGUAAAAAAGCCGUUGUUUUCCUUGUAGUUUGCAUGGUCUAAUUGGUUGAAUGGACAAAGAGGGACGCUUGUCGGGAGAGAAUGCAGAGGCAGUAAUUCUAAGAUCCUGCAUAUGCACCCAACAAAAACCCCUCUGUCUGUUUUAUGACUUUCUGAAUUACAGCUGCAAUAAUGUGACACAUUACUCAUCUAUUGUAACCGGUUUCUUCUCAUGCGAGCUAGAUGCAUGCCUGCCCCGGUUGAGUAAUGGAUGCAGGCCUAGCUUGCACAAUGACAUCAGCACCCCAAGCUGAGGAAACGGGGGGAUGAAUGACUGCGGAUCAGCGUUUGUCAUUCUGACGUCAAUCUUUUGCUCUCUGUGCAACCAGCACUGCCAGCUUUGGCCUGCUUCUGAUAAUGGGGGCUCACAGGCUGUGGCAAAGAAGGGGGGGGGGGGGGGGGUCUGAAAGAAGCUGCUUAGUGGGACACGAGCGUUGUUUUCUGCUCUCGAUGUCCUGAUUUAGGCAAUUUGAAACAAUAAAAACAGAUUUUCAUGUCCAAUGACCCUAGUAGCAAUGAACUAAUUGUUUAAAAAUUUUUAGUUUCCUGAUCUAAUCAAGAGGAUAUGGUUGCAGACAUCAACCUCCAGAACUGGAAGUCCCCCCACAACACUUGUAAAAAACUGUAUUUUUAAGUUGGUGACCCUAACAGUUGAGUUUUGGGUUUUCUGGUUAGAGUUUGGGUUAGGUUUAGGAUUAGGGAUGGGGUAAGUUGUAUAAUUUUUGCUUCCAUCUGAUGAUGUCAGGCGCCAUCUUGUCCACAGCCAGGUCUCUCUUUAUCUAAUAAGAGCAACAACACUGCGGCUCCAACCUCAGAUGUCAACAUAAUAGAAACGUUUUCUCAAGUUUUUAAGAUUAAAAAAAAGGUAUAUUUUGGUGCCGACAAUUUCUUACUUGUUUGUUUUUCAGUUACUGUUGCAGCCGGCUCUCCAAAGACUUCAACUUCCUGGAAAGACUUCAACUUUCUGGGAGACGGUAGAGGUCCACGUCUAAACUUACCUAGUUAUGUCUUUUGUGUACAAUGUGAUCAGAACUGUCACUGCCCCGCGGAAUAACAACGCACUCUGUCAUCUGUCCUCACAUGCUUGUGUUGCACAACCUAAAUUUGUGAUUCCGGCGACAUCUCAGUCCCUGGCUUUGCCCGACUGUCCCUUCUCGCUCCUCCACCGCCUGCCCUCCCUGUCAGCUCAGCUCAGGGUCGCAGCUGCCAUCCCGCCUGCCUCGGCGAACAUUCAACGCUGUCGGUGAGUUUGGUACAUACGAGAAAAAAACCAUCGACCGUUGACUGUGCCCUGCGGCUCGCUCAGACGUCACCAAUGAGCGAAGAAUUUAGCCACGAAAGGGAAAGUGGCCACCGGAUGCAAAGACAGGGCGAAGCUCGUAUUUCCACAAGUGCCACUCUGUUUCCACUGUACCCAAAGACCAAAGGUCACAAUCAACAUUCAUUGCUGUCGCUGGGUUGGACUCUGUGGUAAAGCUCACUGAACAAUGAGUGCAACUGUGGCCCAGAUCUGCCUGACUUGUGUCUCAGCCAAUCAGCCGGCCGGAUGCCAAGCACUCUAAUUUCUUUAUUUAUAAACUUCUUGUUUUUCACUUCUAUUUUCCCCUCUCUUCCUCCCUCCCCGGUGCUGGGACUUUAAGAGGAAGAGCGAGGUCGACACGAAAAGGCUUCUGGCUGCUCGCUUGUCCUCUUCCUCCUCUCCUCUAAUUGAUGGUUAUGUGUUCAGCAAGGGGGAAGGAAGCAGAGUGAAUGUGUAAUCAUUUGGAGUCUAUUCUCCUUUAGACUUUUCAUCCCUCUCUUUUUUGUUUAUCUAAUUAUAUACCGUGCUCAGUUAACUGUGUGUCUGUGCUGGCAGAAAAGAUGGAUUGGCAUAAAGGAAGACAAAAAGACAAACAAGCUUGAGAGAUUACAGCACCAGAAAUAUUAUUAUCUGGUUUGGAGUGUAUUUCCUGUUCUUUUGGGUAGCAACUUGGUCCAAAAUAGGUUUAAAUGUAUUAAACAAGUACAUUUAUAUCCACCUUUCGAGUGAGGAUGUGUCAUUCUCUGUGUCUGAUGUUCUUGAGAGCACGUCUGGUUUCUUGUCUGACCUGUGUGUUCAUGUGUGCUGUGAUAAAGGACCUGUCUGCUGAUGUCAGGGAGCAAUAUGUUAUUUUCCUUCUAUGCUAAAGCGUGCACUCUCAUGGGAAAAAGCAGCCUAUAACCUUGUCUGUCUUCACUGUGUGCGACCGGCCACAUUGCUGUCAUUUUUCAUUGUACCUUUUAGUAACAACUCUAAUUCUGUGCUGCUGUUUUAUAUGUGUAAUACUAACAAAAACAUUGAUAUGUGAUAAACCUAAUAAACUUCCCUCAAAAUAACA